rnacentral:lncRNA from 1 species
GAGCACCCUCGUGGCCUCCUGCAGAGCAGAGAGGGAAGCCAGGGUGCCAGCCUGUGCUGUCUGGAAACACAGCCAGCAGACAGCUUCUUCUUCUCAUGCUUUCUUCUCUUCAUCUUGAGUCCUUGUUGUCUCAUCCUGUCGUGUGCCAUGAGUUCAUCUGGAAGCAAGUGAAGAGUAUCAUCUUUGUUCUUCGUCUCACCAUGUGCGCCUCCAUCCCACAACCAUGUCCUGCUACGAUCUGUGCCGUCCCUGUGGGCCAACCCCGCUUGCCAACAGCUGCAACGAGCCCUGUGUCCGGCAGUGCCAG